CGUAGGUGGCAAGCGUUGUCCGGAUUUAUUGGGUUUAAAGGGUGCGUAGGCGGCCGUAUAAGUCAGUGCUGAAAUAUCCCGGCUUAACCGGGAGGGUGGCAUUGAUACUGUAUGGCUUGAGUAAAGUUGAGGUUGGCGGAAUUGACGGUGUAGCGGUGAAAUGCUUAGAUAUCGUCAAGAACACCUAUUGCGAAGGCAGCUAACUAAGCUUAACUGACGCUGAGGCACGAAAGUGUGGGGAUCAAACAGGAUU
rnacentral:rRNA from 1 species